rnacentral:rRNA from 1 species
GACGAACGCUGGCGGCGUGCUUAACACAUGCAAGUCGAACGGAAAGGCCCUGCUUUUGUGGGUUUCUCGAUUGGCGAACGGGUGAGUAACACGUGAGUAACCUCCCCUUGACUUUGGGAUAACUUCAGGAAACUGGGGCUAAUACCGGAUAUGAGCUCCUGCUGCAUGGUGGGGGUUGGAAAGUUUCGGCGGUUGGGGAUGGACUCGCGGCAUAUCAGCUUGUUGGUGGGGUAGUGGCUUACCAAGGCUUUGACGGGUAGCCGGCCUGAGAGGGUGACCGGCCACAUUGGGACUGAGAUACGGCCCAGACUCCUACGGGCGGCAGCAGUGGGGAAUAUUGCACAAUGGGCGGAAGCCUGAUGCAGCAACGCCGCGUGCGGGAUGAAGGCCUUCGGGUUGUAAACCGCUUUCGCCUGUGACGAAGCGUGAGUGACGGUAAUGGGUAAAGAAGCACCGGCUAACUACGUG